CCUACGUGUGGCAGCAGUGGGGAAUAUUGCGCAAUGGGCGAAAGCCUGACGCAGCGACGCCGCGUGAGGGAUGAAGGUCUUCGGAUCGUAAACCUCUGUCAGCAGGGAAGAACGGUCACUGUGCUAAUCAGCAGUGAAUUGACGGUAACUGCAAAGGAAGCACCGGCUAACUCCGUGCCAGCAGCCGCGGUAAUACGGAGGGUGCGAGCGUUAAUCGGAAUUACUGGGCGUAAAGCGCUCGUAGGCGGUAUGUCAAGUCAAGGGUGAAAUCCCCGCGCUCAACGUGGGAACUGCCUUUGAAACUGGCAAACUGGAGUGUGUGGUAGGAUAGUGGAAUGCCAGGUGUAGGAGUGAAAUCCGUAGAUAUCUGGAGGAACAUCAGUGGCGAAGGCGACUAUCUGGCACAUAACUGACGCUGAGGAGCGAAAGCGUGGGUAGCAAACAGGAUUAGAUACCCCUGUAGUC
rnacentral:rRNA from 1 species